rnacentral:rRNA from 1 species
AACGCGAAGAACCUUACCUGGGCUCGAAAUGUAGUGGAAUCGGGUGGAAACAUCCGCGUCUCGCAAGAGACUGCUAUAUAGGUGCUGCAUGGCUGUCGUCAGCUCGUGUCGUGAGAUGUUGGGUUAAGUCCCGCAACGAGCGCAACCCUUAUCGUUAGUUGCCAUCAGGUCAAGCUGGGCACUCUAGCGAAACCGCCCCGGAUAACGGGGAGGAAGGUGGGGAUGACGUCAAGUCCUCAUGGCCUUUAUGUCCAGGGCUACACACGUGCUACAAUGGUCGGUACAAACCGUCGCAAACCUGCGAAGGGGAGCUAAUCGGAAAAAGCCGGCCUCAGUUCGGAUUGGAGUCUGCAACUCGACUCCAUGAAGCUGGAAUCGCUAGUAAUCGCGGAUCAGCACGCCGCGGUGAAUACGUUCCCGGGCCUUGUACACACCGGUACUA